rnacentral:rRNA from 1 species
CACUACCGCGUGAGGGAGGAAGGUCUUUGGAUUGUAAACCUCUUUUGUUAGGGAAGAAUACUGACGGUACCUAACGAAUAAGCAUCGGCUAACUCCGUGCCAGCAGCCGCGGUAAUACGGAGGAUGCAAGCGUUAUCCGGAAUUAUUGGGCGUAAAGAGUCCGUAGGUGGUUCAGCAAGUCUGCUGUCAAAGCCCGCAGCUUAACUGCGGAGAGGCGGUGGAAACUGUUGAACUAGAGUAUGGUAGGGGUAGAGGGAAUUCCCAGUGUAGCGGUGAAAUGCGUAGAUAUUGGGAAGAACACCGGUGGCGAAAGCGCUCUACUGGACCAUAACUGACACUGAGGGACGAAAGCCAAGGGAGCCAAAGGGAUUAGAUCCCCUGUA